ensembl:lncRNA
CUUAAAGUUCCCCUUGAAUUUCUCUUAAAGCUAGCAUCUCCUUCUCUAAAGAGACUUUUGCAAGUCCUUUGCAAAAAUGAGAAUGUCAGAAAAGAGGACACUGCAGUUUUGAAUGCAGUUUAUGAGACUGAAGCUGAGGAAGGGCAUUUUCAGAAGGAUCAAAGACAGAAGAAAGACAGUUUUUACUAGACAAAAAGUGACAAGAGAGCUCCUCUAAGAAAAGAAAAGCUGCUUGCUUCAGCUCAGAAAGGGAGCAAAGAGCCUGGGCUCACUUCCAAAUGUGAAACUGUGGGAUUCCUGCACUCCUACAUAUGAGACCCAGACUGAACUCAAAGGACUGACCAGUUUACCUCCCCAACCAGACUACUUUCUUCAUAGUGCACAAUUGAAAUUGGAGUACACUCGGGUUUCCUUACUUUGAAAAAGCUCAGAAGGAGCAUUUACAUCUCCUAGUGAAAGACUGCAGAAUGGAGUUGAAAUUAAGUUAUUAGAGUUCACGAUUUGUCUUGGCCCAGAGCCUAAUCCAGUUUAUAAUCCAAGAUCUAUGUUGGAGUCUCUGCAUCAGGAGUUAGAGACUCGGCUGUCUCUCAGUGGACCUUCUUUAAACUCCUCGCAGGAUGUAUGUGCCAUGUCCCGCUUCACUGCCUGCUAUGCAGCCUUUCAAAAGAAGGCUUCCUCUACCACAUAUCCCAAUCUUGCCAUCAUCCAACACCUGAACCAACAUGAGACAUUGUGCAGUAUGAAGGGGUCUCUGUACUAAGCUGAAUCUACAGCUGUAUAUACUAAAUAUUUGGCACUGCCAGCUCUUAAUCAGUUUUCCAUGGAAAUAAAUCAGAGGCAUUGCUUUGGGAGCAACCUACAUGGAACUACACGUCUUACUGCUGCAAUUCAUAAACAGAAUAUUGACAAAUUCCUCAGAUUAUAAUUAUAACGAUCUGAAAAAUCAAAUGGCAAGAGUUUGAGAUGGGACUAGUUCACAUGUUGGAGUUGAAGUCAAAGAAGUCUGGACAAAUGGUGCUGAGUCAUGUAUAUAAUAAUUUCUUCAACAACUGCUUCCCAUAUUUGCAUGUUCAACUUUGCUAGGGAAACUUUUCUCAGUAUAUUUCAUGGACUCAGAUGUCAGAUCAAGGGAGAAACAUUCACUACAACCAGAGGUUACAGAGCUUAACAGACCUACAAAUUAACUUCAAGCUGUCGUUUGGUCUUAGAUAUGGUGAGCUUAAGCUUAUGGUCUUUUUUAAUUUAGAAAGACUAACAGGGAAAAAUGACAUGCAGAGUGACAGUCUUACAGAACUCUAGGAAUGGAUAUUUUAUAUGUUGAAACUAUGUCUGUACCAUUUUGAAUAAAGGCAAUUAUAUUCAUAUCUGGCUGAAAAUUAACCUGUAAUCUGCUAGGAUGUGAUGUGUAUAUUGAACAACUGCUAGGGGCAAAGAUCUGAAGUUUUUGUUGUUUGCAGAGAUCAUAUCUAGCUCUUCUGUGCCUCUAAUUCUAAACUUCUUGCACCUUGAGUACUGCAUUCAGUUUUGGGCCCCUAACUACAAGAAAGACAUUGAGGCCUAAGGAAUCUGGAGCACAAAUCUUAUGGAGAGCAGCUGAGGGAACUGGGGUUGUAUAGUCUGGAGAAGAGGAGGUUCAGGAGAGACCUUAUCGCUCUCUACAUCUACCUGAAGGGAGGUCGUGACAAGGUGAGUAUUGGCCUCUUCUGCUGCAUAACUACUGAUAGGCUGAGAGGGAAUGGCCUCAAGUUGCACCAGGGGAGAUACAGGUUGGAUAAUAGGAAAAAUUUAUUCUCUGAAAGUGUGGUCAGGUACUAGAAUGGGCUGCCCAGGGAGGUGAUUGAGACACCGUCUCCAGAGAUGUUCAAGAAAUGUUUAGAUGCUGGGGCAUGGUUUAGUGGGGAAAUAUUGGUGGUAGGUGGAUGGUUGGACUUGAUGAUCUUGGAGGUCUUUUCCAACUUUGGUGAUUCUAUGAUUCUGUGAUUCUAAAAGAACAGUUGCUGCAGUUUUCCCAAAUCUUUAAAAACUUGAGGUGGACUAUGAAGAAUGUAAAAUUGACUUUGAAUAGAUUUCAAUGGAGAAUGCAGUGAUAUGUUUGCCAAAUACUAAAUGUGAAAGUGUUAUGUUGAAAUCUCACAUGGAAAUACAUAUAACAAUGUGAAAACUGUGAAGGAAUCAUUAGUAUAUUUAGCAUUUAAUAUAUUUUUUCAGGCUCUCUGUCAAUAUUUUGGAUGUUAUUUAGAGUUCUUUUAAUAUUAUUAUUUUUUUAAUGAAGAAAUUACACCUCGGAGUGAGAAGUGUAUUUAGUACAUGAUUUUGGGGUUUCACUUGCUGCACAAAGCUUAAUUAAUGGUUCAGAAAAAACAGACUUUCUCUGCUCCGGCAAAGAAUUAACCUGAGUUUUGAGAAAAGAGUUUAAUAGAGCGGUACAAAAUACUACUUCAGUAUUCCUUCCCAACCAGUUAUUUGUGCAGAUGUGAAUUAACGAACUGUUAUAAAAGUGGUGUGAUUUCUGUCUUCUCAUUUAAAGAGCGAUGAUGGCCAACAUUUCUUAUAGUGCUUUACCAUUAAGAAAUAUUAGUGUACUAAUUAAAAAUCAUUGCAUAACUUUUAAGAAUAAACUUCUUAAAAUUAUUAGGAAAGGUGGAACUUUAUUCCUUGUGAAAAAGAAGCAUGAUUGUUCUUCCUCAGACAUUAUCUGAAUCUGCUAGAACUGCUCACAUCAGAAAGACCAAUGGCUGGAAAUGUUGAUAUUACUAGAAGUACUGUCAUAGAUGUUUAGAGAAAUGUAAUUGUUUACUUAUAAGCAUUUGUUUAUACAUUCUGCUGUAGUUGAAGUUAUAUCACAAUAUUUCUGCAGAAACAAAUUUUGAUGUCUGAAACUAGAGUUCUGUUUCCUUUCUAUGGCAAGAUUCUAGGUAUUGAUACUAGUCUCACUGGGUGUCAUGAAAUCACGAAUCUUUCUUUCUGGACGUAUGCAUCAGGUAGGCAUUUAAUUGGCAUUUCUCUUUAAAAAAAAGUAGCUGCCUUAAUGUCUAAUGACUGAUUUGCCCUUCAUGAUACAUAAAUUGGUAGUAGCUUUUUUUUAUAUACAAAGAAAUACUCAUUCCCAUAGAGAAACCUUUUUCUCUUUCCUGAAUGAAAUGACACAGAUCUACAGUUUUCUGAGCCAAGCUUAUAAAAGGUUGUUACAAACGGAGCACAAUUGUGGGAGGUAGGGAUCUCAAAUUCUAAUUUAGGCAUUCUUUGAGGUAAAGAACUUGUGAUGCUCACUUUCAACUGUCCGAACACUCUUAUGUUUUUGAGAUAUAGGCUAACAUAGAGACUAGGAGGCAUAUAAGCUUAUAUGAUUCUCUGUACAGGGUUAGAUAUCAUUCAGUUUUGCUAUUGCUUUGUGUUUGUAAAUGUUUUAAAAUAUAAUGCCUUGUGUAAGAGCUAAAUCUUUUCAUAGCUUAAGUAGUUCUAGUAAAAUAGCAGAUUUUCCCUAAUCAUUUUAAUUACAAAAAGCAAUUGAUAAUCUCUCUCUUCUUUGGACAGAGAGAGCUUUUGAUUUACAUUUCUGUGCAUCUCAUUCUUUUUCUGAAAGCCUGUGUACACUACAAAAAAUUGAAAUAUUUUUCUUCAUAGGAGCAGCAUACAUAUAGGCACACAGAAACUUCAGUGUCAUUAUGGCUCUAUCCUUUUGAAAGCCUACUUUAAAAAAAAAUAAGGACCUAGUAUUUCUAAAGUCCUUAAGAAGGGAAAGAAGCUGCUGCAGACUUAGUUGAAGUGGUAUGACAGUAUUCCAUUACACAUUUGCCAUUUGAUUCUCCUGAGUAAAGCUUCACUAUAAUUGAACUCUACAUGUUUUGCACUUUGUGAACUCAACUGGUACCUCAUGCUUUUCUGAAGGAUGUAAAUGUAUUUAAACACUCACAGGUUAUGCAGUUUGUGAAAAUGGUACCGAACAGCUAUCUAUGGAUGUACUCUAGAAUAUUUGUGUUUCAGAUCAUCUCAUACUUUGCUGCUUCAUAGCAAAUAUGUAGGAGGGGCAUGAAGGGAUGAUAAAUACAUAGCAGAGAAGCUCAGCGAAAUCUUUCCAUUGGCAUUUAGCACUGAGACUCCAACACCUGAUGCACUUCUGUAGUAGAUAGACUAGAAUAUGUAGGUCAGUUUGAAGUAACUACAUCAAAAGUAUUGCUUCAGUCAGGCAUAUUAGACAGACUAGACUUGACUCAGUGUCAAGUGGUGGACAAUAAGCCACCAAAAUUUUGGACAUGUUUAGAAAAGUUAGUGAGAUUAUUCUUAGAAACAAAGAACACCCGAAUGGAGAGUACAGAGUACAUAACUGGUGUACCCAUACCCUGAGUCUCAUGUGUAGUUUGGUCUAGAUAUCUAAGGAAGGGUGUAGCAGAGUUGAAAGAAGUGUGGAGAAAAACAAGUAAAAUAUUUGAAGUGAUAGAGCAGAUGCCUUCUGUAGACACACUAAAAAGCUGGGAGACUUAAUUUAGAAGCAGAGAAGGCUGUGGGAGAAUAUGACAGAAGGUAGAUAAGUCAUAAACUGAAUACACAGAAUUUGUUCACAAAAUACCACAAUAUUAGGCCCCUGGGAACUUGAAAUCAGUUGAGGUUUUAUUUAAAGCUGGUGAAAUGAAGUUCUUUACACAGUGAACUUCAGAAACUGGGGUCAUUGGAGAAGGUGGAAGCAGCCAGUACUGGAAGGUUUAUGAAGGGGUAAAGCUCUCACAAAUGAGCCCUUAACCCUUUUAAGGCUGGGCAGAGUUGUAUCAACUGACAAUAUUCAUAAAACCAUUCUGUACACUGAGGAUGCGUAUAAGGGGAUUGAACUGCAGAAAGUGGCCAAGUUAUGUGCUCUCUUUGAAUGUCAACUAUUGAAUAUUGCACGAGUACACUCUUUCCUCUGAAGGAAAUUUACUAAGUAUCCUCAUUUUUGUCCAGCCAAAGAGUUUUGCAUGUGGUUUCUUUCAGAGUAUGUCCAAACUGCUCUUUAAACAAGACUGAAAUUUUUGUGUCUUUAUGAAUGAGGAUUGAAUAUUCCUUUGCAAUACCCAGGCUACCUCAUCCAGUGUGGAAGUAUUGAAUGAUUCCUAUGCAGAAAACAAAACAGCAUACAGGUUCUGCUAAGUCUGAUCAAGAAACAAUGAGGUGAUAUGUCCUGAAAAAUUCAGUCAUUGCUAAGAAUUCAGUACAAUUCGUUCAAAAUAGUGGAAUUAGUGAUAUCUUGACUGAAUGGAGAAAGAAACUUGUACGGUUUUGUUUCUGCAGACAGUAAGAUAAGUAACAGUUAUGGACUAACAUCACUGGUAGCAAUGUACAGCAAAUUAAUGAGAAAGCAAAGUGUCAACAGACUUCUGGGCAUACAAUAAUAACAAACAUAGUAGAAGAGGAAUCCAAUAUCACAUCUUAUGCCAUUUACUUAUUUGCCAACUUACGUUUCCACAGGCCACUGAAAGCAAUAGCCGCUUGGUUAUGGCAGAAGGUUACAUAUUAUAAAAUAUUUUAGUGCUUCUUUCCAGAGUCAGAAGUACAUAUAUAAAUGAAUUAGAGAAUUAAUAGAAGGGUGCAGGAAACCUUAAAAUCCUUGCUUCUAAGAGAUUAUAGUGAAAAAUAAUAAACAGAUAUCAAAGAGAAAAGGUGUGUUUGAACUACUUCCACCUGUUAAGUAUAAUAAUCUCUCUUUCAUUUUGAACAGUUUUGAAGCAUCAAACACCUUGUGAAUUUCUUACAUAUCUGGGCUUUGGAAGCCUGAUGUUGUACAGGGUAAAUAUUUAAAUCUUUAAGGUGGGUACUGAUGUGAGUGGAGAAUACAAACAUAACAACUAUGCAUUGCAAUAAAUGAUAAAGUGAGAUUGUUGAGUUUUAGCAGUGCAAGAAUUACAUGACAUUAGCAGUAUCCAAUAGGUCUUGGAUGGAGAAAUCUUAGUAAAGGCUUUCUGUUCAGACAUGGUUUUAUAAGUAACAUACGUUAUUCAGGUGUGGAUAUAUGAUGAGAUUUUUUAGACUGUUGCAUUAUUCCAAUAUUAACUUUAGCAUAUACCUUUGAUAGUGAUAACUCCCAAUUUAUGCAGUGACUAUGGUUAUGGUCAACUGAGUAACCCAUGAAAAGAAUUCCACAUGAUGAUUUAAAAAUAGUCAAAUAUUCUAAUUUUUUUCACAUAAUUAUGUGAAAAAAUAUAUAAAUACAAUUUUAUAUUACUUAAGAAAAUAGUUUUUAUUCAGGAAACUUACAUAAGACACUGAAUGAAUUGAACAUAUAUAUUUUAAUGACAAGCAAACAGCAAUAAAAUUAGGAACACGUUAAAGUUUGUCCUGCAUAUCCCUAAAAGAAUACUGAAAAAUAAUUCAAGAGAAUUGUUUUCUAAAACCUAUUGUGUAUUUGUUUAGAUUUUAUAGAAAAUAAUGAUCACAUGAAGCACACCGCAUCAAUUAGGUUUAUAGAAACAAAACACUGUGUUAAUAGUAAUAUGCAAGUAAAUUAACUGUUAUCUCACACUCUUAAAUGUAUUAGUAGUAAUAUUAAACUUCAGUGUAACUGAAAGUACUGCUAAAUUUAAAGCAAAUAUCUGAUUUUUAAAUUGACAUUAAUUGAAGCCCCAAUCUCUCUCUCCCUACCUCUGUAAUCGAUUAGGUUUGAAUACUUACACAGCAAAUCUCUGAAGUCAUUUCAGACCCAGCGUUUGUGUGCAGAAAACAUUACAUAAGUCAUUUCAAAUACUAAAAAAAAAUAGAGAAAAUUUAAUUGUGGAUUAGAAAAAAUCGUUGAAUAAAUUAUAUUUAUUAUAUUUUCUGAAUGAUUUCCUCUUUAAUAAGCAGACACGCCAGUAGAAAACAGCCAUUGGAAUAUCUAUUAUCUCUUCAUCCUUUUAUCCUCUUGCAAUUCUCUUGGGGAAGCAUACAUGUAUAUGCUGCAUGAAAUGUUAUUAACUGACAUUAAGUCUCUCAUCCCCUUAGGCCGUGGAUUUUUUCCUGCUACUUUACUGACCAUUAAGCAGCUCUUGUGGAUGUGAUCUGGAAAUUAUUGUAUUUAUACCUUAUAGAGCACAUGUAUUAAACCGCUCAUUAGGUUUUGAUAUUACAUGACUUCAUAAGCCUCAUAUGAGCUACAGCAGCAAUUAUGUUUUAGUAUAAUGAUGUGAAAAGGACAAACUAUUGGUUCUUUAAAUGUGUGCCGAAGUCUUUUAAAAUAUUAUCUGUCAUCUCUAAGGUGUCUGUUUUUAACUCUUCUUCAUGUCAUAACUAAGUAUGAUUAAGGACAAAGUAAGACUGCCUGCUUUGAGUGCUGUCAGAAGCCACAGGGAACCUUUUUGCUCCGGCUGACUUGCACUGGUGGAAGGCAAUACUUUGUGGCUUGUGCUUUGAGAGGGAAAAUUAAGAUGGUGCUACAUGUCCAGACAUGCCUCUGAAGAAUGUUGGAAAGUUGACUAUCUAAGUUUGUGCAGCAAAGGAUUUGCUGAUAGAUAGCAUGAGAGGUAGCAUGGUGAGAAGGAAAUUAUACCUAUUGCACAGAUACCUCAGCUGCAUUCUCCACCAAUUAUUUUGAAAAUAUUUUGCUGUUUGUACCCUUCUUCUUUAUAACAGCACCAGCAGAGCACCAACUAGAAUGCAUCUAUCUCCUUCUUACUUUCCAGUUUUUCUCAGGUGUCUUAGAUCAGAAGAUUUCAACCAAUUUUAAUAUUCAUUCUAUUUAAAACAUUGUCUUUUUUUCCCCCAAAUCUUAAAGGCUCAAAACAGUUCCCCAUGGGAAAACUAAAGACUGUACCAACACAAGAAUCUCAUUAUCUUUUGCACCUGCACUUUCUGUCUAUUUUUAUAUUUUAUGAUGCUGCAGUUCUUUCUACAGUCAUACUGACUGCAUUAAAUUAUGUAAAGGCAGAGUCUUGUGACACCUCUGAACCAACAGGCAGGAGAAUACAAAAUCUUUCUUUUGCUCUCACCCUGACUCAAAAUUAAAUUCCAAAAAUUAUAUGCAAAUAAUAUCACCACUCUCAGUUUAAUGAAUGGAAUCAAAGAACGGCAAGGGCAAAGACGUAAGUUUUAUCCUCUGCUAGUACUGAAGAAUUAGCACUAGAAUUAGUAUGAAUUUGCAUUACUAAAUGAUCAUUGAAUGACAUGAUAACUGGGUGCAAUUCAAGUUUGUUAAUAUUUCUAAACGAUAGCAUCGUUUUUUUUUGCUUAAGGCUCAGGGCUGAACAAGGAGCACUGACUUCCCUGCCACAGACUUGCAAGGUGACCUUGACAAAUCACAGAACAUAUCUGUACCUCAGUGUGAGACGGGAGAAAUUAAAACAUUUCCUAGCUCACAGAGGCAUUGGUAAAGCUCAGUUAAUCAAAGUCUUUCAAGAUCUUUAGACAGAAUAAUCUAGAUAAGAGCAAAGUAUUAUUAUUCUUACUAAAGAGGACCUCUCCUGAGCACUUAAUUUUUCAUUUUAUACAAACUUUUUUGCUUAUUUACACUGUCAGCAUACAGAGUGAUAGAUCCUUCUGACCUGAUUUGUGUGAAGCUUGUCAAGAUACAGAUGUUUUUAGCACUAUAUCCCUGUUAGGAUAUGACACAAUACAUCAUAACAGCUCCAUCAGAGCCAUUAGGGUGUAAGUUGUCAAUGCAUAAUAAGAUUACUAUGCGUUAUAGCAGGUGGUGCUCAAAUAACACUGAAGCAUGAACACUGUGGUAGCAUCUAGAAUCCCUUUGAAUACUGGUGUUGCAAUACCUUUCUAAUGUAUCUAGCAUUAUCUUUUUGUAGUAAAAUAUUUCUUGUUGUGCAUGAAGAACUAUUUUUUUGGUAAAAUAAGUAACUGUUACAUUUUUGUUGUUUCAGAAAACGUAGAGGUCUACAAAUGUUUCUGUUUGCAAAAGAAGUUGUUUUUGUUUAAAUGAAGGGCAAAGCCUGCCAACAACUCUGUAAAUAUUAGCCAAAUAUGUUCAAAGUUUUACUGUUAGAAAACCAGCCUGUAAGAAGUUUGGAUUCAAAAUGGCUAUUGAAACAGUACUGUCAAAAGGUUCUAUUUAUAGAUUUUAUAUACAUACAUAUAUAAAUAAAUGGAAAAUGUUGUUUUAUGCACAAUAUUAAUGAGUAUAAUUGAGCCUGGAAAAAUGAGACAUUCAAAUAAUUUUAAGUUGGUGUCUGAAAAACUCUGCUGGUUUUCUAUCUAGGAAAGACAUCAAGGAAAAGAAUCAGCAGAACUUGCAGAGAAAGACUCAAUACUGCUAGGUUUGUACCUCCCUGUCAGUAUAACCUAUGAGCAUUACCCAUUCACUGGUGAAUUUAUGCUUCUCAUGCAUUUGUGAAGGAUCUCUUCUUAAGGAGAACUGAAAAACUGGCUUAUUGAGGAUCACGAUAAAGUCUGUAGCAGAACAUAGAGGAAAAGUGAACUUUGCUGAUAUUUUCAUAUCAUCACUAUUAAUCUGUAAUUCAAUGUGUGAAGCUUUUUCACAUUAUUGCAUUAUUCCUGAAAUGCACUCCAAGCAGGCAAACUGGCAAGCUACAGUGACAUACAUACACAUAUGUAGAUUUUGCAUGAGGUCUUAUAUGUGCAUUCACAUCUGCCUGUAUGGAAGCAGGUUGAGGUAGGUCUUUUAUAAAGUGAGAGAUGAAGGAAAAGUGCAGAAUUCAAAUGCUUACAAUGUUUUCAAGCCUUUGCAGAGAAGAAUGAGGUGAAUGGCUUCAAAGAAAAUUUUUCAUAUUUAGGCAUUACUGCAUCUUCAGUAGGUAUGAGUCCUCCUAAACAUGGAAGUUAUAGCCUCUCCCAGUAAGAUGUAUAGUGACUGUGUGAGAUGUAUGAUUUUCUUUCUGUGCAGUAGAGGCAACAGGCAGGGACUGACCUAUGAUCAGAAAAGUCCAAUAAAUUUUCCAGGAAUAUAUAUUCCAAAUGAUAAAAAAUUGAGUAAGAAAAGGAAACAGUCCAGUCAUUUUUCAUAAAUGUGUUGUUCAAAGACUUCCUCAUAAAAAAUCAAAUAUCUUUCUGGUACAGCAAAGAAAGGUAAAUAAGAUAUGCAUUCUGACACUUACACAGAAUAACAAGCAGGAAACAUGCUGUGGUCCUUGAAGAAGACAUAGAGUACAAAUAAAUAAAAGAAAAUACAGAAAAGGAAAGAAAAAAUUAAAGAAAAAAGAAGAAUGGGGAGGAACGUCAAUGAUAUGACCCGUGGCAUGAAUACAGUCUCUUUCUGUUAUUACAGCAAACAGAAAGAAGUUAGAAAUAGAAAUGCUUUCAAAUAAAGGCUAACAUGGGGGAAACAAUAAACUGAAGGGAAGACUUGCUCAUCUAAAAGACUAUCUAACAAAAUAACUUGGAAAUAACCUUCAUUGUUUUUUACUCAGGUUAGAGUAGAGUAGUUCACAUGGAGGAGAGAAGUCAAAGAUGAAUUGAAUUUGCUCAGGAACAAAAUUUCCACUCAUAAAAAUGGGAGCUUGUACUGGAAAGAAAAAAAAUAUAUGAAAUGCUGGGAAUGAUCUAGACCAAGUAGCAAAGAGUGAGAGUUCUGAAAACAAACCUAUCUUUGUUUCCUCCAUGUAAAGUUUGUUAAAAAAAAGAAAAAAAAAAAAAAAGAAAUGUUUAAGAUCUAGAAGUCUUCUGCAAAUGAUAUUAAAGGAGGCUAUUCUUAUAGAUCUAUAAAGCCAAAGGCUAAGUAAUGGUGGAAGAAAAGGAGAAAAGUUUAUUCUAACACCCUCCCAUGCUGAGCAAGAACACUGAAGACCAUAUCUUUUCAAAAGCAACAUUUGCUGAGACAGCAGGAUUUUUUUUUCCAGAAAUUAAAUUCUUCUUUGCCCCCAGUACAAAGCUGAAUAUUUUUUCUUGGAAGGCUAUUUCUGAGCCACAACCCCUAGACUGUUAGAAACCUUUUAAUUUCCAGCCUAAACUUACUCAUGAACAGUCUAUAUCUAUUUGUUUUUGUGCCAGCACUGUCCUUUUGUGUUAAUUGUACAUCUAUAUCAUGUAGCUAUUUGUAGGUUAUUUCGUAUUUCAAAAGAUAAUAUCAGUAUUUUUAAAAGAAAUCACCAGCUGAGAUUCUGAGGAUAAAAUUAGUUGUUGCAACAGCUGUUUGAUCAUAAAGUUAUUGUCUAAAAAGCUUAUGAACACAAUAAGAUGUGAUUUCACUUCACUUUAGGGGGAAAUAACAUGCUGUAUCUUUUUAUUACUUCUAUUUAUGACAUUCAGUAAUGAAAUAGAGUUAAAAUAAUUUUCAGGAAAACAGAACUUGAUUUAAGAAUAAAACAGACUAGAUGAAGUCUUUAUUCAUUCAUUAAAGGCAAGAGGCUAUUUUUCAACCUUUAUUCAAGAAACUUGAUGAAGUUUUCUUUUGGGUCUGGUUAAUUGUUUGGCUACAGUAUUUAUCAGUAUGACAACUGAUUGACAACUGCAUAACAACCAGCUACUUCAGAAGCAGAUUUGCACAAGUGGAUUUUUGAAGGAAGGAAAUUGAAAGUGUCAAGCUGAGAGAAUGAAGAGUGUCCAGGUCUAUGCAAACAUACUGUUGAGAUUAUACUGCUAGGUUGUAAGCCCUUCUGAGCAAUGAUAGUCCCUUUCCAGAUGCCUGUGAGCAUUACCUAUCUUUAAUGCAUUAGUAUAUAGAAAACAUACAUGUUUUCUCUCUUUCCUCUUCAAAGGAAAAAUGCAGAGUAAAUUUCAGUCUGUCAGAAUCUUUAGGAAACAUUACAGGGAUUUCCCUGCAGCACUUUCAUUUCUAUGCAGAACAAACUGAAGAGGUGCAAAGCAGUAUAUCAGAAAUUCUGUUUCUUGGUUGUAUGAAACUUCAGAUUUACCUUCCUAUUCUCAUUAUUAAUUACCUGCAAACCCUCCAAGAACACUUUCUGUGCCACAGCUGGACACUUUUUUCUCUACCCUCAUCUGCCAAAAGGUUGGUACUCUGUCAGAGAUGAGCUGGUGUCUCAUUUCUCUCUAUCCCUCUGUUUUUUCUCUUGCGCAUUCUGGCAGCGCAGGGCUCUUCUUUAUUAACCUUUUCCAACUGAAUAAGCCAGAACAACACAUGACUUCUGACCUGAAGCAAUACAGCCAAGUGAGUAGGCUGGCUAUCUAUUUGCACUGCCUUUCUACACGAGGUCCUUUUCCUCGGUAGACAUAAUGUACCAGAGAUGUAUUAGAGAUAAGGAUAAUGUGUCUGUCUGCCUGUUCUCCCUAUAGCUUUGGGAGACAAGCAGGAUGAAUAUGAGAGUGCAGUGGUAUGGGCCAAAUGCAAUGAGACUCCCACAAAUAUGGUGAGAUAAAAUGCUGUGAAGUCUCUUCAUUUAAUUGUAUAAUCCUCCACACUGAUCAAGGAAGAAAACUUAGGGUCAUUGCUCAGUGAAUUGCCUUACAAUGCACGACAAUUACAUUGGAAGCAAAACAAAGGUACCAGCUUAUAAAGAGAAAAAGAAAAAAGAAAAAAAAAAAAAAAAAAGGAAAUCUCUAGUUCAGUUGGACAGAUUUGCAAGGAUCUUCGAAAAUGUGAAGGAAAUGGCUUUCUUCAAUCAGUUGUGUCUGUGUGGAGAGUGAAGGUGAAUAGUCUCAGCUCAGGAGGAAUGUAAUUUGGAAAGGUACGAGCAGCUGAGAAGGGAUUCUCAUGGGCACAGCGUUUGAACACUAAAGUGGCGGCUAUCUUUCCCACUGCAAUAAAAGGGAAGCCGGUAACAAUGGUGUGCUAUAAAAAGCAAAGGAACAUUUUUCUUUGUCAAACAACCACACCUCUCUGGCAGUGCUGCUGCUGUUGCUGCAGUACACUGGCUGAAAUCCACUCUGCCUUUGAACUCUACUGUUACAGAAUUUCAAUUAAAACUGAAAACCACACAAAGGUUGUGGGCAUAAAGAAUACCAAAAAGACACAUCCAUACCAUUGAUUGUUUUUGUUUUUCUUGGUCUGAUUAGGAAAUAAUGAUUUAAGCUGAUGGUGAGAUCCCAGGUAUUGCUGUAUAGGAAAAUUUUACCUAAUUAAAGAUGGGGAAGAACUAUAGAAAAUUCUCCAAGAUCAGAGCUGCCAUUCAAAAGAAAAAGUCAUACUGGGGUUCAAAAUCCCUCCAGAAACUGUUUCACUCCAUUAAAAAAAAAAAAAAAAAAAGUAUUUGAAGCCUGGAGGAAGAAUACAAUUUAAGAGAGUUUUUACCUUAAGUGAUGUACCCAACAAGGCCUUAUGUAUGCUGCAACAAGCUACAGUACCUGCAGGGUGCUUAUCUACCAUGGAAGUCUUCUAUUAUCUCAUUCUUUACAUGAAUGAAAGUUGAAUAAAGUUUCUUCUUUCUCAGAAACCAUUACACUGAUUUGACUGGGUCUGGAAGUAGCAGAAUGUUUUCCACCCAAUUAUUUUCAACUGAUUGAGAAUGUAUUACUUUACUCAUAGGCACUUUGGAGUUUCAAUGACUAUGUGAAGGACAGUACUUCCAGUAACAUUUAGAAACAUUCUGAGUGGAGAGAAGAUGAAAAGAAAAACCAAAACCAAAAACAAAACCACAACCAAGCAAAACACUUAGUUGUUUAAAAAUGCAUCCAUUUUCUCAUGUUUUGUUUUUUUUUUUUUCUUCUGGAAAUCAAUGCUGCAAGUUAUUGUUGUUAAUUGUAAUGAGAUCAUAAGUUUAGAAAACAUUCCCUCAUAAAAAAACAAAUGUCUUUUAAUAAAGUAUGAGAAUUGUGGAAUGACUAUUGGUAAUAAAAAUGAAAUCUGACAAAGAAUACAGAAUAGCCACAGUGGGGAUAACAGAUAUAUUUCUUUGGAACUGUUAGCUGCAUUAACAUCAUAUAAAACUGUGUUCUAAGAUAUCUGAGUUCUAUGUGAAGGAUCAUAUGUAAAUUUUAACUAAACUGGAGCCAUUAUAUUAUCAUAGGUACAAUGUGCUAGAUAGAAGGCUGUUUCACAUCCACUGAAUAGAUGUGUAUGUUCAUGCAUGUAUGCAUAGCUGUAUGUCUAUAAAUAUAUUCAUAUGUUUAGAGAAAACUUGAACUGGUGGAAAACUGAAAGGACAGGAGGAAAGCAUAGUUUGACUAAAAAGCUAGUUGUUCCAUCUUUCUGUUUCUUUAUUCACCAUAUUUACAUUUUAAUCAGAAGUUGGACUCAAUCCUUAGGCAUCCCUUCCAACACGGGAUAUUCUAUGAUUCUAUGAUUCUAUAUUUAUUUCCCUGCUCACUUCUUUUGUAUAAAACCUACUUUCUAAUUCAGUUGGGUAACUCAUCUUUAAUAUUAUUUUAACAGAUCUUGUCUUACUUUCAUGGAGUAGUCACAGCAAAGGUUGCAUUGUAAAAGAAAAUUGCCUCACUACUGCACUGGGUUUUCUAAUUAGUAUAUCUGGUACCACCAUUGGAUAUUUGGAGAAGAAGAAAAGAGAGAGGAAAGAGAGACCACUGUUAAUCACCCCUUACUAGUAGUUGAGGCCCUCAACUUGUUAUUUAAUUUUCAGUUUUACAUACCUCGAUUUCAGAAAACAAAUGAUAGAAAAAGAACCUCAGCUGCAUACCCCGGCUUGCAGGCAAACCUCUUCUAUAAAUAUGUGACCAUUUUAUGAAACUGUAUGGAAGAGAAAAUACGACUAUGAACUUAUGAACAUGUCGAGUGUUUCCCAAAAGAGUUUUAUGGUUUUAUGAUCUAUGAGUUGAAUCAACUCAAAGGAAACUUGAUUUUAUUAAGAACAGCAUCUCAGAACUCAUCUGUGGGUUUGGAUUUCCAACACACUCCUGUAAAUUUGUUGAAUUAUUUAUUUGCAGUGAUGAGACGAGAACAGGAUUCUUCAAGUGGGCUGUACAGUUUGCAUGUCUUACAAAAAAUCUGAUCCAGAAAGACAGAUCUCCAUCAUUCUUAUAUAAGUCUUUUAUAAAUUUGCCCACUGUUAUUGUAAAAUUAGUCUUUUUACAGGAGUGAAAUUUCAAAUUGCUGAAACACUUUCCUGUAGAAUCAUGAAGUGAGAAGAAAAAAUUGAGAAGUAUUUCUGCCUGUAUGAGGAAACACAUGAGCACUGAUACAGAAGGUAUCAAGCCAGCUUGCUGACCAUUGCUUCUAGGACAGCUGGAAGGUCAUGGGAAAUAUUCCACUUCACCAUUCCAAAAUCCUUGCCAUUCCAGUUUGCCUCUUUUCAUUAUUUUUAUUAUACAGAAGCCCAGCAUGUUGUUAGGUCUUUGACAAGGAUUUGAACAAAAUUUAAUAUAUAACUACAUUAUUGAAGGAGUCAUAGAAUUAUAGAAUCAUAGAAUGGUUUGUCUUGAAAGGGUUUCUUAAGAUCCCUAGUUCCAACCUCUCUGCUAUAAGCAGGGACAUCUCCUACUAGACCAGGUUCCUACAUGCCCUCAUAAAAAGUGGCCUGAUAGCUGCCUUUCAGUAUCUAAGGGGGACCUACAGGAGAGAAGGGGACAGACUCUUUGGCAGGGUCUGUGAUGAUAGAAAAAGGGGAAAUGAUUUCAAACUAAAAGAGAGGAUAUAAGGAAAAAGUCUUUUACAGUGAGGAUGGUGAGGCAUUGUAACAUAUUUCCCUGAGAAAUGGUGGAUUCCCUCUCCCUGGAGACACUGAAGAUCAGGUUGGAGGAGUUCUAAGCAACAUGAUCUACCUUUGGAUAUCCUUUUUCAUUGCAAGGAUGACCGUUAAGGGUUCCUUCCUACUCAAAUGAUAUAUGAACUUGAGCACACCCUUUCUUUCUUCCACGAUUACCCACGGAAUAUGAAAGUAAUAGAAUGUCUACUGCAUACUUGCUUUCCUUACCCCUGCCUCUCCCCAGGUUUUGCAGAUUGUAUCUGCAGUUGCAUUUUUCAUCACUUCCUCUUGAGAUUGUGGGAAAGUGAGGACAAAGUAUGACAUUAAAAACAAUUUGACUCUAAAAGGAAAAAAUAAACCAGACUAUUGCUAGGAAAACAUUAUUGAAAAUCCUAUGAAAAUAUAAAUACAAUUUAUUUUGGUAUCCUUAAUCCUCUUAAAAUGGAAGAAUUAAGCCCAAGAAGCUGUUUAACUGCAUGUAGAAAUCAUGGUGAAUUUAUCUUCAUUGGGUGACCUCAUCAAAUUAUUCUCCACUGCUGUGAUUUUUUUUGAAGACAGCUCAAUAACAUUUGACUCCCAGUUCCCAUUAGAAUUUAAUGAGAACUGGGCCUCUAAGUCCCCCAGAUUCCUUUGAAAAUAACCCAGCCUAUGAUAAAAUAAUACAGUUCUGUGCAUCCUUAAUUUCUGACAGCAUGUUCAUGUCUGGAAUAUUGAUUGCAACUGCUACUGCCAAGCACACAGAUCCCAUCACUCUUGCCUGCUUUUCCAUUAUGUCAUAAAUAGAUAGCACAGCUCAAUAGAUCAUACAGAUAGAUGGAGCUGGACUACUUACAUGGACUUGCAGGAAAAAACAACUAAUAAUAACCAAGUAUCUAACUUGAUUGGACAAAUUACUUGAAUGAUUUUUAAAAGCUCUGAAAUGAGUAACUUCGAAGAGUGAAUAACGGCGAAAACAAGGCCAGGUCCAACAGUAGUAAUUAGAUUCAAGUAAAAAAUAAAACUCAAUUGGAAAGUUUUAAAGUCUUUGUAUUAUGCAAGUAACCUGGCAAGUUUGUGGUACCAGAAAUGGGAGUUCAAUUAAAUAUUUGGAAAGCCAAAAAAAAAAAAAAAAAAAAAAAAAACAACCCAAAAAACAAAAAACAAACAAACAAAACAAAACCCAAAACCCAAAACAAACAAAACAACAACAAAAAACCAGACAUGCAAGCAGAAUCAUUUAGUAUCCUGCUAAGCUGAAAACACAUUCAAACUAAAACGAGAACUCAGGUGGUUGAAUAAGCAAUAGGAAAAAAGGAACAGAGUUGUCAAAAUAAAAUAUAUUUCAGACUGACUUGAGUAAAAUUUUAAUCCUUGAUUUCAUUUUUCGUGUUUGUACAUUUGUUCCCAGCAGUAAAAUCACAACAUCAUUUCACAGAAAGGUAAGGAAAGGAAAGGAAAGGCAAAGAAAAAGUGCUGGUGAUUCAGCCUCCAGGCUCUCCAUAAAACCUACUAGGAAGCAGAAUGCAAAGUUGUUUUUGUAUGUCCUACUGUGACUUAUCAUGUUAUUAGAAGUCUAUUUCCUCAUCUUUCUGGGGAAAAAAAAGAAAAAAGGGACAACUCAGGAAGAUCACUGUUGGGCUUCAUUCUUCCAUGGAAUUAAAAAAAACGAAACAAAACAAAAAAAAUCCAAAGCAAACAACAAAAAAAGCAACCUGUACUCAGCAGCUAUGGUUUGCAACACUGCACCAAGAUUAGGUUAGAUAUUCAUUUUAAGAGCAGGCCAUUACUUUUGCAGUACUUCUGCAGGAGUAAGACUAAGGAAAUAGCCUAACAGAUCUCAUUCAUAUGCAGCAACUCACCAGUCUCAAUAGAUAGGAUUAACUUGGAUUCUUCACAGGGAAUCCAAUUUCAUAAUUAUUUUGUUUAGUUUUAUCAUUUUAUUUUAUUUUUACUUUAUUUAAUGAAUUUAAAUGAAAAUAUCUAGAAAUCUAUCAGGAACUGGGACUCCAUUUUGUCCCCUGUAUGUGGGGCCUACUAUAAAACUGCAAAACCAAAAUUGUGGUUCAUAUUCUUUUAACAUCUCCAAUCUAAAGAGGAAAGAUAAAACUGAGAUACAGAGGAUUUGGUGUCCAAGGAGCCAGUGGAAUGCCUAAGGGCAGUUUAAAGCAAACUUGAAUGUUUACACAGUCUCAAACCACCCUUCUUUUCUGAACACACCAGGGGAGACAAAAUUUGUCAUCCUAGCAGGCAGGAGUGUAAGUACAUCUCCUGCAUACCUGCUGCCAAAGGGUAUUUGUAUGUUUGAAAGUUACUGCGGCAAAAGAAUGUCAAGCAAUGACUUAAAGACUGAUGAAGUGCUUUCUGGACAUCACUGAUGAAGUUCUCCUUAAAGCAGGUGGCCUAGCAUCAAACAAAAUAUAAAUAUACCUGCUGGAAAAAUAGAAUGAUUAGUUAACACCAUAGGGCAAACAAAUGUUAAACUGACCUCAAGUCCAAAGGAGAGAUGAAAGACAGAUGGGGGCUGGUGAAUGCACUUGAUAAUGUUGUUGGGAGCCUUAAAUCUGGUGGACAGAGAAACAGGAACCUUUGGAUGGAUGGAUGCAUAGGGUGACAAGGAUGAAACUAUGGAAAUCUGAAAUACUACCUCCUGGUACAUUUGCAUUUCAGGAAUCUGAGCACUUAAAUAGAGAGAGGCAGUGGCGAUGAAAUGGAAGAUAAGUUUUACUCAUGAAUUAGUUGUAAUCAUCUGUAAUAUUGUGUUAGCUGGAGAGCAAACGUUUAGGAGCAUGAUCAGGAAGAUUAGUUGAUUUUCCACUUGUAUCAUAUAACGUAUGAAUACAACAAAUUCUGCAACAUAUUAAAUAUAUAUGGAAUUAUUUUAUUUUAUUUUAACUUAUAGCAAAGGUGAUUUACUUCUUUACACAAGAAAGAUUCCUAUGACUAUUUGUAGUCAUAGAACUUAGCAGUCUAAGUUCCAAAGUUGAAACUUUAAUUGGAACUAUAGGAAAUCUCCUCUGAUAGCUCUGAUAAUAGAUAGCUCCUCUGAUACAUCUAACCAGUAAUAAUUUCACAUCUAUAGAUUUUUGAUGUGGCCUUUUAAUGUACUUUUGGAUCCUCCUGCAUGAUGAUGAUUCUGGUCUUGCAAGCUGCUGUGUGUAGGCAGCCCCUGACACCAGAGACCACUGCUGUGGGAGUUAGAAAGUCUGUGCUCAGAUGGAAAGGUCAAACUGCACAGAAUAGCUUGCAGGUUCAGAAGCCUGCCUGAAAUACUCUCAGCUUAGAACAAACCUGAAUUACUUUGUGAGUAUGAAACAUUUAACACGAGAGCCUGCAAAAAGUGGUAAAGGUUUUGUAUAUAGCUGUCUAAGAUGAGCUAACCUAAGACUUAAUUAGCUAUAAUAUACAAAGAAACCCUUUUUAAUAAAUAAUUAAAUAAUUAAAAUCCUGGCCUGUGACAGUAGCAAAAUCAGUUUUGCAGUUGGAAGUCUACUUCUGUGCUUUCUUUAUUAUUAAAUACAUCAUUUUAAGAAGGCAAUUUUGAACUGAAUAGAUGUGAAUCUAAGAACACCAAAACCCACUUUGUGUCUUGAUAGAAACAUUUUUUUUGUGUGUUUUGAUCCUGGAAAUUUCACAUCUCUCUUUUAACUUUCUUAAGAAAUAACAUUACUUCUGUUUCUCCAGUCGUUUACUUGCUUAAACUCCAGAGCAUACUGGUGUGCUGCAUAAUUGGAACAAAGCUUAAUAUUGUAAAUAAAAACCUUUACCUCCAAAUCUGCAGAGGAACUGUAUUUAAAGAAAUGAAACAAAAUAGAAUUUAAAUGCUUAAAUACAAGAUAAUGUUUAGAAACUUUAGCUGCCCACAAUCAAACAUUCCCAGCUGAAGUUUGAUUACUUUGGCUUGCAUUUAUCUGAUACUAAAAAAAAUAAGGAUUGGUUGUCAUCGAGGUAUUGGAAAGUGACAAAUAUAAUAUAAUUUCUAAAAAGAAUGACCAUCAACCCAGUACUGCAUACAGUAUGGAUGAAAGAAAGCCCUUUUUACCUAGCUUCAAAUUCCCCACAGCCUUCUGGAUUUUACAUAUUUACCACAGGUACUCAUAGAACUGAGUUGUUUGAAAUGUGAAAAUGUCUGAAUGUGUUUUCAGGAGCAGCCUGAAUAAUGUGGACAACACAUCAACAGAGAGCAAAACUAAUACAGAUACACUGAAUAAAAAGGACAGAGAGGGAGAAAAAGAUGUAGAUGAAAAUGCAUAACAACAGGGCAUAAAAACAGUGUCAAUAUCCUUAUCUAUUUAAUUAAUGUUGGAAAUAAGUUUAGUUACAAAUUAUGCAAUAAUAAUUAAUUAACAAUCUAACUCUAGAUUCUCAUGUCAUUAUUCAUCUUUAAAAAUAUUUGAUACAGUGGUUAUUGAUGAGUUUUGUAUUUUUCUAGUAGCUUUGCUAACCCCUGAUUAUUACUGCUCAUAUAUUGACCUUUUUGCCAUAUGUUUUGAUCAACUUUGAAUUAUUAGUAUUUAAAUUUUCUAACAGAUUAUUGAAGUCUCAAAAUACAAUGGUUUUUGUAGCAAAAUCAUUAAUGUGAUAAGAUGCAGAUCAAAAGGAGUGUUCACCACCGUGAAUACAAAUAGUACAAUAUGAAUUAAUAUGAAAAAAUGAAACACUGUGAACAACAGACUUCCAUUAAUGUGUUAGUGAGCAUAUUAAUGACAAAAUUGCUGAAAGAUACAAUGAAAAGUCUCAACUAAGAAAAAAAAUAUGGAACAUUUCUCAGAAUAUAAAUGAAUUCCUAAAUGAAACAAUUUAAAGGUUAAUUUGGUAUUAUUUCCUGGAUAUGUGUGUCAAAUUUAUUCAUUGAUCAAAAGCACUCUUUUACACAAACAAACAGAUAAAUGCCCUUGAUAAUAAACAGCAUUUGAAAUGCUACAUCAGGUGAUAGUGCAGACUACUUUCCUUUGGUCUAGUGAGUCAUUCAGGGAGUAAGACUAUCUUAUCCACACAGACCCAGUGUACUGAAAUUUAUGACAGUCAUUCACAGUUUGGGGGCUGCUAGAUUGCAUAUGUUCUUUCAAAGAGAUCUUAUUAGGUAUUCUGCUGCUGAGGCAUCUGCUGGUCAGGGUAAUCUUGAUGCAGGUCAUGUAGAAGACUUGUGGACAUGAAGAACAGCAUUUUUCCAUUACUAGCUUGAUUCCAAAACCAAUGAACUAUUAGCUAUGGUGGUGCAGGAGACUUUUCACCAGUGUUUUAUUAAGAAGUCCAGGGUCUCUAAAUUUGGCAGUGCCCAUGGGCCAUAGUUAUAUUCUACUAAUGAGAAAAUUAUGAUACUGACAUCAGCUUCCCAAUCCUUUUCCCUAAAGAAAACACAUAGCAUAUUAAUCUGUAUAAUUAAUGUCAUGUUUCUUCAUAUCCUCUCUCUCCAAUUAUCCUCAAAAUAAUUCUGUUUGACUCCAAAUACCUGAAAUCUUUAAAAACUUUAUACCAAUAUCUCUAUGGUAGAUCUCUUUGAGUGUAGUUGUAACUCAUAACAAAAACAUUGUAUUUCUGUUAACGUAUGGAUAAUUACAUCAGAAGUCACAUACAGACCAUCAUGAGAAUAAUGCUCGUUCUUAUUGCUGUAUUUUGAAAUUUAAAGAUCCUUAGCACUGAAUAAGUGACAGAAGUAUGCACAAUAAAUUUAUACUAUUGCUUUUAAACUCAUAUCUGCCUUUUUGAUAGUAGAGAACAGCAGAGAAAAUAAUUAAAUACCUACAAAAAUAUUUUGUUUGUAUGUGGUGUUUUGGAGAGAAAGGUAGGUAAGAUUUAUUUAUAUUAAUAAUGUGUCACCAUUUUAUGUACCAGAAACUGCAUAGUUAAUAACUGCACUUGAGUUACAGUGAAGAUUUUCAAUACUUUCAAAUGAAAUUUUAUAUAAAUUCUGAUUUGUUUUAAUAAAAUUUAAAUGUUUGGUAACAGCUUAUUCUUUUUGUUGGAGAGUUUUAUGUUCCAUAGUUACAUUGACUUAAAUUGGCUGAGAUGUGUGAGUUUUAAUGAUUCACCUAGAAAGUUAUAUAGACCAGUGUUCAGAACAAGAGCAACGGGAAGUAAGUCAGCAAGAGAAACAAGACACGUAAAAGUGACUGCCUGCAAACCAGUAGCUUCGCCCAAGAUCUAUCAACUGCUACUAGGUGCUUAUGAAGUGUACCAGGCUUGGAGCUGAUAAGGACUGGAAAAUGACCUGAAAAUUUUUUAAAUGCAAAGCA